GCAAGUCGAGGGGUAACAGGUAGCUUGCUAUGCUGACGACCGGCGAACGGGUGCGUAACGCGUAUAGAAUCUGCCUUGUACAGGAGGAUAGCCUUUAGAAAUGAAGAUUAACACUCCAUAAUGUAGAGUUUCGGCAUCGAAACCUUAUUAAACAUUUAUGGGUACAAGAUGACUAUGCGACCUAUUAGCUAGAUGGUAAGGUAACGGCUUACCAUGGCGACGAUAGGUAGGGGUCCUGAGAGGGAGAUC
rnacentral:rRNA from 1 species